rnacentral:snRNA from 1 species
GUGCUCACUUCGGCAGCACAUCUACUAAAAUUGGAACGACACAGAGAAGAUCAUCAUGGCCCCUGCACAAGGAUGACAUGCAAAUUCAUGAAGCAUUCCACAUUAAA